rnacentral:rRNA from 1 species
CUACGGGUCGCUGCAGUGAGGAAUAUUGCACAAUGGGGGGAACCCUGAUGCAGCAACGCCGCGUGGAGGAUGACGCAUUUCGGUGUGUAAACUCCUUUUAUAUGUCAAGAAAAUGGCGGUAGCAUAUGAAUAAGCACCGGCUAACUCCGUGCCAGCAGCCGCGGUAAUACGGGAGGGUGCAAGCGUUACUCGGAAUCACUGGGCGUAAAGGACGCGUAGGCGGGUUGGAAAGUCAGGUGUGAAAUCCUACAGCUUAACUGUAGAACUGCACUUGAAACUUCUAAUCUAGAGUAUGGAGGGGGAGAUGGAAUUAGUGGUGUAGGGGUAAAAUCCGUAGAUAUCACUAGGAAUACCUAAAGCGAAGGCGAUCUCCUGGAACAUUACUGACGCUAAGGCGUGAAAGCGUGGGGAGCAAACAGGAUUAGAUACCCGCGUAGUC